CUGGGGUUAUAGGCGUGAGCCACGGCGCCUGUUUGUUUUUUUUUUUCUAAUCAGAGGUUUUGCUCUUGUCGCCCAGGCUGGAGUGCAAUGGUGUGAUCUUGUCUCACUGCAACUUCUGCCUCCCAGGUUCAAGUGAUUCUCCUGCCUCAGCCUCCCAAGUAACUGUGAUUUCAGGUGCCCGCCACUACACCCGGCUAAUUUUUGUAUUUUUAGUAGAGGCGGGGUUUUGCCAUGUUGGCCAGGCUGGUCUCAAAACUCCUGACCUCAGGAGUUCGGCCUCCGAAAGUGCUGGGAUUACAGGCAUGAGCCACUGUGCCCGGCCUAGAAAACUGGUGUUUCCAACAAGUCCUUUGGUGCUGCUGGUGCUACUGCGGGCCUUCUGAGGAGACUUUGAGAACCGCUGCAUCAGGAUUAUCAGCCUGGUAACUCCUGGCCGAAGAAAUGCACACCCUUCAUUUGGCUAAAAGAAAGAAUUUCCAAUAUUCAUAAAGAAAACACAACUUGUGGGUUCUCCAAGCAGGAGAGGAAAAAUCAUGUUCCAGUCUAUUCCUGUAACUAAUGAAGGGCUCAGGUUUCAAAGAAAUCAACAAUAUCAUAAAAGAAUGGACUCAUGAAAUGAAAUCUGGUUUUCAACAAUCAAUACCUAUAACAUCA
rnacentral:lncRNA from 1 species